rnacentral:rRNA from 1 species
UACGUAGGGUCCGAGCGUUGUCCGGAGUUACUGGGCGUAAAGAGCGCGCAGGCGGUCGGAUAAGUCGAAUGUGAAAGCCCCCGGCUCAACUGGGGAGGGUCAUUCGAUACUGUUCGACUCGAAGGCAGGAGAGGGAAGUGGAAUUCCCGGUGUAGUGGUGAAAUGCGUAGAGAUCGGGAAGAACAUCGGUGGCGAAAGCGCUCUACUGGACCACAACUGACACUCAGGGACGAAAGCUAGGGGAGCGAAUGGG